AGAGUUUGAUCCUGGCUCAGGACGAACGCUGGCGGCGUGCUUAACACAUGCAAGUCGAGCGAUGAAACACCUUCGGGUGUGAAUUAGCGGCGAACGGGUGAGGAACACGUGAAGAAUCUGCCUUCAACUCUGGGAUAACUCCGGGAAACCGGGGCUAAUACCGGAUAUGAGCCUUGAUCGCAUGAUCGGGGCUGGAAAGUCUUUCGGUUGAAGAUGACUUCGCGGCCUAUCAGCUUGUUGGUGAGGUAAUGGCUCACCAAGGCGACGACGGGUAGCCGGCCUGAGAGGGCGACCGGCCACACUGGGACUGAGACACGGCCCAGACUCCUACGGGAGGCAGCAGUGGGGAAUAUUGGGCAAUGGAGGAAACUCUGACCCAGCGACGCCGCGUGAGGGAUGAAGGCCUUCGGGUUGUAAACCUCUUUCAGUAGGGAAGAAGCGAAAGUGACGGUACCUACAGAAGAAGCACCGGCUAACUAUGUGCCAGCAGCCGCGGUAACACAUAGGGUGCAAGCGUUGUCCGGAAUUAUUGGGCGUAAAGAGCUCGUAGGUGGUUCGAUACGUCGGAUGUGAAAAUCAGGGGCUCAACCCCUGACCUGCAUCCGAUACGGUCGAGCUAGAGUUUGGUAGGGGAGACUGGAAUUCCUGGUGUAGCGGUGGAAUGCGCAGAUAUCACGAGGAACACCGAUGGCGAACGCAGGUCUCUGGGCCAAUACUGACACUGAGGAGCGAAAGCGUGGGGAGCGAACAGGAUUAGAUACCCUGGUAGUCCACGCCGUAAACGGUGGGCGCUAGUUGUGCGAACCUUCCACGGUUUGUGCGACGCAGCUAACGCAUUAAGCGCCCCGCCUGGGGGAGUACGAUCGCAAGAUUA
rnacentral:rRNA from 1 species